rnacentral:misc_RNA from 1 species
GGAGAACGGGUAUGCCUAAUUAUUUAGGACUUUAAGCUUAUGUUAAUUUCUGUUUGAGUGAUAUGCUAGCAAGCAUGUACUUUAGUUGUGCAUCUUCACUUGUUAUGCUUUUCCUUUUCCUUGUCCUCCCAUUCAUAUUUUCCCCAUGCUUGUCAUAAUUGAUAAACACUUGUAAAUUUUUCUAAUUAUUUUUUGUAUAUCUGUUAGUCCCUCAGUAGACUAAUAAGUCAUUUUCAUUUGAUGAGACUUUCAGGAGAGCUUAAAGUACCGAUUGUU